UCAUGUUGAAUAUACCGGUUCUCGUUAGAUCACCGAAGUCAAGCAUCAUUGGGCGCGGUCAGUACUUGGGUGGGUGACCACCUGGGAACACCGCGUGCCGUU
rnacentral:rRNA from 1 species